rnacentral:rRNA from 1 species
GACGAACGCUGGCGGCGCGCUUAACACAUGCAAGUCGAGCGAGAACCAUGCCUUCGGGCAUUGGGGAAAGCGGCGAACGGGUGAGUAUCACGUGGGUAAUCUGCCCUCGGCAUCGGGAUAGCCCGGGGAAACCCGGAUUAAUACCGGAUGGCCUCACGAGCUUUCGAGCUCGUGAGAAAAGGUAGCUUCGGCCUCCGGCCGAGGAGGAGCCCGCGGCGGAUUAGCUUGUUGGUGGGGUAAUGGCCCACCAAGGCGACGAUCCGUAGCUGGUCUGAGAGGACGAUCAGCCACACUGGGACUGAGACACGGCCCAGACUCCUACGGGAGGCAGCAGUGGGGAAUCUUGCGCAAUGGGCGAAAGCCUGACGCAGCGACGCCGCGUGCGGGAAGAAGGCCUUCGGGUUGUAAACCGCUUUCAUGAGGGAAGAAGCCACUCGGGUUAAUAGCCCAGAGGGUGACGGUACCUCCAGAAGAAGCCCCGGCUAACUACGUGCCAGCCGCCGCAGUAA